CUGAAAUUCAGCAGUAUUAGCUUAUAAAAUCCAAAAUAAAAUACUAUAUAACUACAAUUCAUAUAGGUACAUAAGGCAGAAACUAGAUGCAAAGAUGAUAGAGUAAGGACAAAUAGGAACCCUAUAAAUGGGAGCUCACCUCCCUCAUCCAAGGAGGUAACUCUCUCAACAUCCACACAUAAUCAUGAUAAAUUACAAUAACAUCAAAUGAUUUAAAUUAUAUAGCCCCCGACAAGAGUAGAAUACUAAUAGUGUAUGCGGAGUUCUAGAUUUUAAAUCAAUAGAAUGAAAUACACAUAUUUGCUAUUGAUAGACCUAUGAGAAAGGAAGCAGAUUAAUCAUAAAAGGUCCUCCUGUAGCUUGGAAAAACAGAGUGAACAGGAGUGUGCGUUCGACUCAUAGAGUAAGAU
rnacentral:misc_RNA from 1 species